rnacentral:snRNA from 1 species
AUACCAGCACUAAUGCAA